rnacentral:rRNA from 1 species
CGGCCUGUUAGCUAGUUGUGGGGUAGUGGCCUACCAAGGCAAUGAUGGGUAGCCGGGUUGAGAGACCGACCGGCCAGAUUGGGACUGAGACACGGCCCAGACUCCUACGGAGGCAGCAGUGGGGAAUCUUGCACAAUGGGCGAAAGCCUGAUGCAGCGACGCCGCGUGCGGGAUGAAGGCCUUCGGGUUGUAAACCGCUUUCAGCAGGGACGAGGCCGCAAGGUGACGGUACCUGCAGAAGAAGCCCCGGCUAACUACGUGCCAGCAGCCGCGGUAAAU